CACCAACCUAGAUCUAGGUCACAAAGUGGCAGCAUAGCAGAGAGAAGUGUGGAGGUUUAAUUAGCAUUCCUGAGGCAUUGUGGGGUUCUUCUUGGGAUGUUUACCCAUUAGGAAAUAAGUGGACAACACACAGAACCUUGUAAGAGUGGAAGGAAUCCUGUAGCAGAGGCUGGAGGAAGAGGUUCCUCAACCCACCUCUAGAUAAGACUGAUUAUGACAUCAGCUACUGGGAAAGCCAGGCCUCUAAAAGAUUGGUCCAGUGAUGGAAGAGCUCCAGAAGUCAAGGUCCAGGAUGUGACCACGAAGACUGAACAAUGUGACCCGUGUGCAGUGAACUGAAGGCAGACGGAACAGGACAAGAGAGAAAUGAAUUGAGGGACUAUCAUGCAAGAUUGACUGUCAAAGCAAAGUUUAAAGUCACCUAAAAUAAAAGUCCAAUUUAACCAGAUGGAAAAGACUAUGACCAGGCACUAAAAUAUUAGUAAAUGAGCAAGAGUAAUCAGAAAAUCCAUGGAUGACUAUGAAGGGGCUGCAAAGGGCUUGGCAUAAACUGCCAAGGAGCAUAAUUUUUACUCAUAGGAGACAAAAAAUAGUGUAUAAUUCAGAAUGGAGAUCAGAAGAAAGUCAACUCUGAUUGCCAGAUUCAAAGUCCAUGGGAUACUGGUGAACUUGCAGACUUCAAAUGAAAGAGCUUCAGGAGAAAAAUGGAUUUUCAUGGAAGAAUCAACUUUCAGUUAAUGUACAGAAGAGGAAAGGAUGUUAAAUGAAGAGCUCAUAAAUGAGGAAGAAGAGUUUCCUUAAUGUUUUCUUUUAGUAGUUUCAUAGUUUGAGGUCUCAGAUUUAAGUAUCGAAUCCAUUUUGAUUUGGUUUUUGUAUGUGUUGCGAGAUAAGGGUCUGGUUUAAUUUUUCUGCAUACGGGGAUCCAGUUUUCCCAGCACCAUUUAGAGACUGUCCUUUCCCCAAUAUGUGUUCUUGGCACCUUUGUCAAAAAUGAGUUUACUAUAGAUGUGUGGAUUUCUUUCUGAGCUCUCCAUUCUGUUCCAUUGAUCUAUGUGUUUGUUUUUAUGCUAGUAUCAUGCUGUUUUAGUUACUAUAUAGAUCUACAGUAUAAUUUGAUGUCAGGUAUUGUACCUUGCACAUUUAAAAAUAACUUUAAAAGCAUAAUUGGAAUGUUUGUAACACAAAGAAAUGAUAAAUGCUUGAGGCAAUGGAUAUCCCAUUUACCCUGAUGUGAUUAUUACACAUCGUAUG
rnacentral:lncRNA from 1 species